AUGUCUAUGAAGUUCACGCCUGUGUGCAUAAUUGCAUUCAGAAUGAGUGUAAUCUUUUCCUCCCUCCAUCUUUCUCUUUCUCUGUCUCUCUCUCUCUCUGCUGCUUUUUUUGCACUCUCUAUCCAGCAUCAAAGAAAGAGAAAGGAAACAUGCAGGCAUUGUGGGAGGAUUACGAAACAAAAAAAAGAGGUCACGUACCCAGUGGUACAUAUGCACCAGUAUGCAGGUGGCUUUAUGAAGAUCAUUUCCCUCCCUCCUGUUUCCCAGUGGAAAUGGAUGUCCAUUAAAGAUGACAUCACACAGGCACUACAACAGCCAUGAGCAGCUGUGGCCCAUAAGAGAGGCUCAGCUAUCCUGUAAUGUCUCAUAUGAGUCUAGCAGACUCAUGCACACACACACACACACACACACACACACACACACACACACACACACACACACAUACACACACACAGAGCAACAUCAUGGCUAUGUGGAAAACAAAUGGCACAGCUCACCUAGCACACCAAUAGAGAGAAGUGACUAUAACAGCACACACUCAAACCAUAGGACAGAAAAAUCACUCUUUGCUGUAUAGGAGAAACAAAUGAGAUUAAUUUGAGAUAUUUUGCUCUAUCUAUUCUCAGUUUUCACUACUGAGAAACGGACUGUAGAAAUUGUAUGUGUCUACUCAAGAGUUGAUGCAAAUUAUGUCUUAAACCUUGCUCAGAUUGGAACCAAAUGCCAAAGUCUGCAAUCAGAGGUCAGAGAUUUUAAAUUAAACUCAUAAAUUAAAUUCAUUAAACAUUUCUCAAAAUCAGCUUUUUUAAAUUCUACAAGUGAAUUUAGCCAUUAUUUAGGCAUUGUACAGUAUGAAAAAGUGGUUGAUUUUCAGAUUUGCUAAAUAUUAGAUUUAACUGGGAUAUUAAACUCUUUGUGUUCAGUGAUUUAAUUAUUUUUCUUCCAGGUGUUUUACCUGUAUUUUAAAAUUUGCGUUUCAUUACAUUGUGUUUAGGGUUAACAGUAAUGUCUGUAAAAUCAAUAGAGUAAAUUUUCUCUUUUUCUGACCAAUUAUAACAAUGAAAAAAUAUAAAAAUAAAAACUGCUGAUAACCAAUUUUGUAUCA
ensembl:lncRNA